rnacentral:rRNA from 15 species
GCUUACGGCCAUACCACCCUGAACGCGCCCGAUCUCGUCCGAUCUCGGAGACUAAGCAGGGUCGGGCCUGGUUAGUACUUGGAUGGGAGACCGCCUGGGAAUACCAGGUGCUGUAAGCC